GCGGUGGUGAUGAUCAUGAUGAUGAUGAUAGAGAGGGCGAUGAAAAGGGAGCUCAAGGCGGUGGUGGUGGUGGUGGAUCAGCUCUUACUUGCAUCCGUGUAGUCCAUGCUAGCUCUUCAGGUAUUAUGAGUUUGUAAUUAACCAACCUAACUUUAUAUUAAAAUAUGUGUUAUGUUUGGCUUUAUAAUAAUUUUCAUUUUUAUUGAAUUUAUGGUUUGAGAGUAGUCACUUACCACCGGAGGUAUGUUUGCCCACGGUUUUCCGGUGUAAGAGAGUCAGCUCACUCGACGAUGAAGACGAAGAGUAUGCAUAACAAACGGCUGUGAACACCGGAGGUCAUGUGUUCAAAGGCAUUCUCUACGACCAAGGUCCAUCAGAUG
rnacentral:lncRNA from 1 species